rnacentral:rRNA from 1 species
UGGGGAAUCUUGCACAAUGGGCGAAAGCCUGAUGCAGCGACGCCGCGUGCGGGAUGAAGGCCUUCGGGUUGUAAACCGCUUUCAGCAGGGACGAGGCCGCAAGGUGACGGUACCUGCAGAAGAAGCCCCGGCUAACUACGUGCCAGCAGCCGCGGUAAUACGUAGGGGGCAAGCGUUAUCCGGAUUCAUUGGGCGUAAAGCGCGCGUAGGCGGUUUGUUAGGUCAGGAGUUAAAUCUGGGGGCUCAACCCCUAUCCGCUCCUGAUACCGGCAGGCUUGAGUCUGGUAGGGGAGGGCGGAAUUCCAAGUGUAGCGGUGAAAUGCGCAGAUAUUUGGAAGAACACCGGUGGCGAAGGCGGCCUUCUGGGCCACGACUGACGCUGAGGCGCGAAAGCUAGGGGAGCGAACAGG